AUGAACGCUAGCGGCAGGCCUAACACAUGCAAGUCGAGGGAGAAGCCCUUUCGGGGGCAGAAACCGGCGCACGGGUGCGUAACGCGUAUGCAACCUACCUUUCACAGGGGGAUAGCCCGAAGAAAUUUGGAUUAAUACCCCAUAAUAUUAUUGGAUGGCAUCAUUUGAUAAUUAAAACUGCGGUGGUGAAAGAUGGGCAUGCGUCCUAUUAGCUAGUUGGAGUGGUAACGGCACCCCAAGGCUACGAUAGGUAGGGGUCCUGAGAGGGAGAUCCCCCACACUGGUACUGAGACAGGGACCAGACUCCUACGGGAGGCAGCAGUGAGGAAUAUUGGUCAAUGGUCGGAAGACUGAACCAGCCAUGCCGCGUGCAGGAAGAAUGCCUUAUGGGUUGUAAACUGCUUUUAUAUGGGAAGAAUAAGGCGUACGUGUACGUUGAUGACGGUACCAUAUGAAUAAGCAUCAGCUAACUCCGUG
rnacentral:rRNA from 1 species